rnacentral:other from 1 species
AGAACCCUACUGUGUGCGUGGAUUAUUCUGCCGAGGAGGUUUUGAGCCUACACUCAAAACACCCAGGGAACCGGAUUCGCGGCAGCCUAGUGGCAGCCCGGGGAAACCCGGGAAUCGCAAAGCGCGCGUGAAGGUACCCGCCCGUAUUUUACGGGUUCAAAAACCUGGUAGGCGCACGGCAUAGUGGGGUUCUU